rnacentral:rRNA from 1 species
UACGGGGGGAGCAAGCGUUGUUCGGAUUUACUGGGCGUAAAGGGCGCGUAGGCGGCCACGACAAGUCACUUGUGAAAUCUCCGGGCUUAACUCGGAGCGGUCAAGUGAUACUGUCGGGCUAGAGUGCAGAAGGGGCAACUGGAAUUCUCGGUGUAGCGGUGAAAUGCGUAGAUAUCGAGAGGAACACCUGCGGCGAAGGCGGGUUGCUGGGCUGACACUGACGCUGAACUGCGAAAGCUAGGGGAGCGAACGGG